rnacentral:ncRNA from 1 species
CAGAGUAGGUCCGGGCGCGUUAAGUGCCGCGGGAUGGGAAGUUGCCCGCGGACGAAGGCGAAGGCCGCGGUGCCCGGACCGCGUCCGCUGC